rnacentral:misc_RNA from 1 species
AGGAACUUCCUUGAAUACAAGAAAUAUCAUGAAAAUUUUGUAAUAUACAAAUUAUGAAUCAUGUCCUUUUUACUAUAAUUCACCACUUGCAAUUAACAUCAAAACUCCAUGCUAAUACACAACAGUUUGUAGGCUGCACAUUAUUUAAGGUAUAAAUAUACACUAUACAACAAACUGAUGAGUUCUCUCAGAUAAAAGGAGAAAUCAAACUCUAAUUUACAAAAAGAGCGUGACUCAGAUUUGCCAAUCCUUUCUUACUUGACAACUUCUCUCUGUCUUAAUAGUUCUCAUUUAGCUUAAAUACAGAGCUGACAUAUUCUUCUGUGUCCCAAAGGAAAGAACCAAAAGCAACUGCCUCCAAAAUUAAUCUCCUCAGGCUUGAAAAAGAAGUCAAAAUAACCUCAUCAUUCUCCAGCAAACCAUUCUUGUCAUUCCCAAAAAGUGCACAGCUAUGCUUCUCAAUCAAAUUUACAGCCUCUUUAGAUUUCAGUUUCGCACAUCUCUGCAAUGUCUCAGCGUCAAAACCCAUCACAUAGCACUUCAAAUUUUCAUGUUUACAGUCCUGCUUGCUUGACCCUUGACCGGAUGAAACAGAUUGCACGUUGCUUAUGUGACCAAAAACUAGAUUUGAUAGAUCAUGAGGUAAUGAGUCUUGAAGUUGAAGCACAUUCCUACAAUUAAGGUGAAUAUCUUGGUGGGGCACAGCUAGACACCUUUCUAAAUAAUGCUUCAAGGAGGCAGACUUCAAGAAGUAACCAUAUAAGAUGGAGGCUGCAUACACCUGACCAAGCUGGAGUAGCUGGAUCUCAGUUGUUGCCCAACAGUCUGUGACACUAGAAUUCGCUCUCAAGCCAAUUACUGAAAAGACAUGUUCCCUUAUCAUCUCUAAAAUGUCGAAGCUAUGAAUGGACUCUAGUUCCCAGUCCUUUGAAGGCCAUAUCUCUAGUCUGCUAUUAUAAAUGCAACUAGAGAGCUUUGGAACCAAAGGGACUCUGAUCUCAGAGAAUUUGAAAAGUAUUAACAUGUACAUAAUAUCUUCAACAGCAAUUUGGCACUCGUGUUCUUUCAGUUCAGCAAUUCUCCUGACAUUCAGAAAUAUAAUUAAUUAGUUAAAAGUAUUUAUAACAUCACAUCCACCCAUAUACAGAAGUUGCCAAGAACUCUCAUCCAUCCUAUGUUCAAGUUAGCAAAAAGUGCUGCACAAAUAGUACCCACUGAAGUUAUUGCUAUCAUAGCCUGCAAGGUGCUUUCCAUGUUAGCAUUACCUUGGCAUUCAACUGCUGCCCAUUAAGCAGACAAAUAUUUUUAUUUUUUUAAUUAUACAAAUUUUCUGUGUAAUCUAUGUUAAGAAUUAUCCAUGAAGUAAAAUAUCUAUCAGAGAAGGUUUAAAUUCACAGUUAAGUUCUCAAACUAGGAUAUCAAAUUAAAUAUAGAUCAAAUCAGUCAGCCUUGGUCACCCACUCAAGAUGUAAGGAAAAGUAGCUCAAUACCUGCUUUAGGAACUAACAAUCUACACUUCAACACAGCAGAACUCUACUGAUACAAAGAAUAUUAUUGCAUUGUAAACUUGUAGGCAUUGAUAGACUAAACACAUCUAAAUCCAGUGCAUUAAGGUAUCACUACCUGCAUCAUUUGCUAAUUCUCCUUCUCUUGGCCCAUAAAUUUUUCAAGGCUUUUCAGGGCCUCAGAAAGAUAAGCUAAAUGAAAAGUAAAAAUUAUCAAUGAAGCUAAGGUUUCUCAACAAAGUCCCUAAUCGAUGUGCUUCAACAUGUGGCCUGACCAUUGUUUGACAAUACAUAAAUAAAGAGGACUAACUAGUUUUGAAGAUGUUUGCACAAAAGGAGUAAUUUUUUUUUUUCAUGAACAUUCACGAAAAAGGCAUUCCUGAACUGAACCUCAUUCUCUGCAGUUAUAACAUGAAAUGUGACUUCCUUUUCAAUCAUUUAACUCAACAUAUAGGUAGCCUUCCUCUGCACCUAAUAAGCAUAGUUUCUCUUAAAUAAUCAGUUCUCCUACAUAUGGCAGACUCUAAAAUUGCAUCCUAGUUUCUAUGUUAUGAAUUAAGAGAUAAAUCCAAUGAUUGCCAGCAAUUGCUACAUGUUAAAGUAAGGAAUAACCACACCACAUGAAAAGUUAAGAGGGAAGAUGAUAAAAGAAUAUAAAGCAUAAAAUGGAUUAAUACAUAUCUAAUAUGUAGCAGUACAAAUGAACCAAGUCCAACUGGUCAAGGUUGGUUCAGCGAGGCAUUGUUAACAGUAGUGCAAGGUGCAACAGCCCAAGGUGACAAAGGAUUAUGUGCUCUGCAUGUUCUUAUCUGGUAUUAAUAAAGGCUUGCUCGCAUCCAUAAUAGCAGGAGAUUGGGACAUUGAUACGAGAUAAGAAUGUGCAGAGGCCAAAUGACAAUUUGAGAGUCCAAAUAUUCGUUGGCUAAAACUGUAGAUCACCUAUAAUGAAAACUAAGUUCACAUAAGAAAUUGAAUAAUGAUCAUUAGAGUAUGCAUUUGCACCAAAAACAAUAGAUCGGAAACACAGAUAUACCAUUACGCAACACAAUAUUCUGUAUGCUACUUCGAUUGUUUACUUACAAAUAUGAACCAUAAAAGGCAUGAGUAACAAACUAAAGAAUUUCUUAUUCAAAGAACACUAGAAUGCCCUUUAAGAAACAAUGUUAUGGCUGCGCUCAUCUGCAUCUCCAGUACCUGUACCAGUACUUGAACCUAUUUCCAGAAAACAGGACAUUCUCAAGCUAGAUUGCACAUGAAAUUAAUUAAAAUGUUUUGUUGUGACCUAAAAAUGAGAUGGGACUCACCAUCCCACACGUCCCAUUUAGUAGACCACGUCUACCAAUAACAUACUUGAUUUAAUAAUUUUAGCCAUCUAUAUCUAUUUCAAUUCAAAUUCCAUCCAUGGGAUUUUAUUGAAAUUAAGUAGCUCCAUUGUCAAAAGUCAGAACAAAUUUAUCAUUCACAUGCUCCUGUAAAUGACAACCAUGAUCUAUUAAAUAACAUAAAUAUCAUUUGGGAAAGAGAAUAACUAGGGGAACUCAAUCUAAGUCAAGUCCUUCCCCAAACAUGAGACUUUUGUUAUUUGUAAGGAAGUUAGAAUUAAGUACUUACAAGUGAAUUAAGUACUUACGACUUACGAGUAUCUCCAAUGAUUCUCUAUCAUAGUAAUAAACCACAAUGUUGGAGUUGAAGGUAGUUUAAUUUUUCAUAAAGAGGGUUUAAACUUUUUCCCCCCCUUUAACCCCUCAAGAAUGCGUGCACUUUCUGGUGCAUAAAUUCCCAAACAUUACCAUAAAAUCAAUCAAGAAAGGCGAUGAAUAGAACCCCCCUUUCCUUCAUUUUUCCCCCUCCCAAAAGAAGAGCAACAUGGUCCAACCCUACUUGAUUGAUUAUAAGCUAAGGCUAUGUUUGCAGCAAGGAGUCGUCUGGAGUCUUGUGUUUUUGAAACAGACUCCCAGUUUCCGGUCAGAUUCCAUGAGAAAUAGAGGCCCUUAUAGAGGACAUUAGCUCUUUUGUCUGAUCAUUCUAAUUAUGUUCUUAGUUUCAUUCCUAGAUCAGCUAACCGAAGUGCUAACUGGGUUGCUAACAUUGCUAGAAUGAGUCUUCUUCAGCCAGGAUGGUCUACUUUCUUACUGUCCCAAUUAUCCUCUCUGUUAGCUGAAGAUGUUAUGUAAUCUGGAUACUUUUAUAUGAAUAAAUCUGUUUCUUUCUCUGGUAAAAAAGUGCGAUGAGUUCCAAUUCAAAAGCAUGUAUCACCUCCCCCCUUCAAAAAAAUACCAUCGCAUGGCAUCCUAUACAAUUGCUAGAGAACCCAGUAGUUGCUGCAUAUUCUGCUAUCAAAAGUAAGGCUUAUCCUCCUACACUUCGUAAUGUAGCCCAUUUCUUUAACACACAAAAAGCUGACCCUAUCGUCUUCAAAAUCAAGUUAACUACAAGGACUGGAAGUAUAUAGACAGAUAUAGAAAAACAAAACAUUAUCAGAUAGGACAAACCUGUGAAGGAAGGCUUCAUCGGAGCCAGAGCUAAGUAACAUGCGAGAAACAGCACCAUCUCUAUCUUCAGCCAAAAGCUUCAACUCAUCAGCGACCGCAACAUGAAACAACUGUCUCUGAUUCUGAAACACACCGGACAAAAACUUCCCAGCGGCCGAGCACGGCUCAAGAGGCGUGUUCAAGCUACUGCUGCUGGGCUCGCAGUGGCUAGAGCCUGCUCUGGCAACAAAGACCAGGGGCGAUCGUACUUCCCGUCGAAGGAAAGUACUCGUACAAGUUAGGCUCCGAUCGGCGAACUUGAGGAUAAAAGAGGGAGGGUAAACUAAGCGCAAAUAACCGGAUUUUACCGUCGACGGUAAAAAAUGGGGAGAUAGAUUUGUGAGGGUAGAGGAUAGGCUAUAGUCCAUCAAAAGACAAAUAACUGCCAAUGGAGGUUUCCCAAUGGACGCGCUCCGAUGUACCAGAAAUUGGAUGUGGAUAAGGGUUUACA